UGUCAGCCGCCGCGGUAAGACGAAGGAUGCAAGCGUUAUCCGGAUUCAUUGGGUUUAAAGGGAGCGUAGGCGGUCUAAUAAGUCAGUGGUGAAAUCUCUCGGCUUAACUGAGAAAUGGCCAUUGAUACUGUUGGACUUGAGUACAGAUGCCGUUGGCGGAAUAUGACAUGUAGUGGUGAAAUACAUAGAGAUGUCAUAGAACACCGAUUGCGAAGGCAGCUGACGAAACUGUAACUGACGCUGAGGCUCGAAAGUGUGGGGAUCAAACAGGAUUAGAUACCCUGGUAGUCCACACUGUAAACGAUGAUUACUCGCUGCUGAGGGGUGACUUUCAGUGGCUAAGCGAAAGCGAUAAGUAAUCCACCUGGGGAGUACGCCGGCAACGGUGAAACUCAAAGGAAUUGGCGG
rnacentral:rRNA from 1 species